AACUCAUGGUGUGGGCAUGAACGGAUCAUCUCCUUGAACUGAUCCCAAGCUUCGGCAAGUGUCUCAUCGUUCUCUUGCUCAAAUGAGGAGAUCUUCCUCCUUAUAUCU
rfam:Beta vulgaris subsp. vulgaris chromosome 8, whole genome shotgun sequence.